ACGAACGCUGSCGGCGUGCCUAAUACAUGCAAGUCGAACGAACUCUGGUAUUGAUUGGUGCUUGCAUCAUGAUUUACAUUUGAGUGAGUGGCGAACUGGUGAGUAACACGUGGGAAACCUGCCCAGAAGCGGGGGAUAACACCUGGAAACAGAUGCUAAUACCGCAUAACAACUUGGACCGCAUGGUCCGAGCUUGAAAGAUGGCUUCGGCUAUCACUUUUGGAUGGUCCCGCGGCGUAUUAGCUAGAUGGUGGGGUAACGGCUCACCAUGGCAAUGAUACGUAGCCGACCUGAGAGGGUAAUCGGCCACAUUGGGACUGAGACACGGCCCAAACUCCUACGGGAGGCAGCAGUAGGGAAUCUUCCACAAUGGACGAAAGUCUGAUGGAGCAACGCCGCGUGAGUGAAGAAGGGUUUCGGCUCGUAAAACUCUGUUGUUAAAGAAGAACAUAUCUGAGAGUAACUGUUCAGGUAUUGACGGUAUUUAACCAGAAAGCCACGGCUAACUACGUGCCAGCAGCCGCGGUAAUACGUAGGUGGCAAGCGUUGUCCGGAUUUAUUGGGCGUAAAGCGAGCGCAGGCGGUUUAAGUCUGAUGUGAAAGCCUUCGGCUCAACCGAAGAAGUGCAUCGGAAACUGGGAAACUUGAGUGCAGAAGAGGACAGUGGAACUCCAUGUGUAGCGGUGAAAUGCGUAGAUAUAUGGAAGAACACCAGUGGCGAAGGCGGCUGUCUGGUCUGUAACUGACGCUGAGGCUCGAAAGUAUGGGUAGCAAACAGGAUUAGAUACCCUGGUAGUCCAUACCGUAAACGAUGAAUGCUAAGUGUUGGAGGGUUUCCGCCCUUCAGUGCUGCAGCUAACGCAUUAAGCAUUCCGCCUGGGGAGUACGGCCGCAAGGCUGAAACUCAAAGGAAUUGACGGGGGCCCGCACAAGCGGUGGAGCAUGUGGUUUAAUUCGAAGCUACGCGAAGAACCUUACCAGGUCUUGACAUACUAUGCAAAUCUAAGAGAUUAGACGUUCCCUUCGGGGACAUGGAUACAGGUGGUGCAUGGUUGUCGUCAGCUCGUGUCGUGAGAUGUUGGGUUAA
rnacentral:rRNA from 1 species